rnacentral:misc_RNA from 1 species
ACACGCUCACCUUAAAAACAUUGUUACUUGAUCCUGUCCACUGACCGGUUUGACUAGGCGUUAUAAGUUAUUUCGCUUAGGACACUCGAAAGGGUGGCCGUUCGGUAGCGGGUUCUUGCCCUAUAGUGCGCCACACGUAGACGGGGCUACAAUUCUUGACAUCUGGCCUCAAAUCAGGUAGGACUACCCGCUGAACUUAA